rnacentral:misc_RNA from 1 species
UCCGGCUUAUCACCGGCGAUUUCUUUAGAGUGCCCAACUAAAUGAUGGCAACUAAAGACGAGGGUUGCGCUCGUUGCGGGACUUAACCCAACAUCUCACGACACGAGCUGACGACAGCCAUGCAGCACCUAUGUAAAAGCCCUUGCGGGAAACGCCAUCUCUGAUGUCGUCCUCUACAUUUCGAGCCCAGGUAAGGUUCUUCGCGUUGCAUCGAAUUAAACCACAUGCUCCACUGCUUGUGCGGGCCCCCGUCAAUUCUUUUGAGUUUCACCCUUGCGAGCGUACUCCCCAGGCGGCAUACUUAAUGCGUUAGCUCCGGUACAGGGGGGGUUGAGCCCUCCUACACCUAGUAUGCAUCGUUUAAGGCAUGGACUAC